rnacentral:rRNA from 1 species
GGGCGGACGGGUGAGUAACACGUGGAUAACCUACCUAUAAGACUGGGAUAACUUCGGGAAACCGGAGCUAAUACCGGAUAAUAUUUUGAACCGCAUGGUUCAAAAGUGAAAGACGGUCUUGCUGUCACUUAUAGAUGGAUCCGCGCUGCAUUAGCUAGUUGGUAAGGUAACGGCUUACCAAGGCAACGAUGCAUAGCCGACCUGAGAGGGUGAUCGGCCACACUGGAACUGAGACACGGUCCAG